rnacentral:rRNA from 1 species
GGGGUGCUCGAGUGGCGAACGGGUGAGUAACACGUGAGUAACCUGCCCUUGACUUUGGGAUAACUUCAGGAAACUGGGGCUAAUACCGGAUAGGAGCUCCUGCUGCAUGGUGGGGGUUGGAAAGUUUCGGCGGUUGGGGAUGGACUCGCGGCUUAUCCGCUUGUUGGUGGGGUAGUGGCUUACCAAGGCUUUGACGGGUAGCCGGCCUGAGAGGGUGACCGGCCACAUUGGGACUGAGAUACGGCCCAG